rnacentral:lncRNA from 1 species
GUGUGACCCACCAAACAGGGCUUGCUGGAGACUUGAGUGCACAGGCGGCCCUUCCUGAAAAAUCAGUUGCUGCCUGGCCUCUGAUCUCCUGUCAGGAAGUUCCAUCUCCGUCUCCAUGAAGAGAGCGUGACCAAUGUUCCUUCCUGGAACAAUGCUGAGUUAUUUACACAAUUCCAGAAAAUAACAAAAUGGACUACUAUAUUUUCCCCAAACUUCAACUUUGGUAAAUUAUUUCCCAAAUCUAGUCUAUAAUUGCCUCUCUAUAUCUUCUCUCCACAUCAGGAUAUACAUCUGAAAUAAGGUACUAUUAAUUUACU